GGCUUAGAGUUUGAUCCUGGCUCAGAUUGAACGCUGGCGGCAUGCCUUACACAUGCAAGUCGAACGGCAGCACGGAGCUUGCUCUGGUGGCGAGUGGCGAACGGGUGAGUAAUAUAUCGGAACGUACCCUAGAGUGGGGGAUAACGUAGCGAAAGUUACGCUAAUACCGCAUACGAUCUAAGGAUGAAAGUGGGGGAUCGCAAGACCUCAUGCUCGUGGAGCGGCCGAUAUCUGAUUAGCUAGUUGGUAGGGUAAAAGCCUACCAAGGCAUCGAUCAGUAGCUGGUCUGAGAGGACGGCCAGCCACACUGGAACUGAGACACGGUCCAGACUCCUACGGGAGGCAGCAGUGGGGAAUUUUGGACAAUGGGCGAAAGCCUGAUCCAGCAAUGCCGCGUGAGUGAAGAAGGCCUUCGGGUUGUAAAGCUCUUUUGUCAGGGAAGAAACGGUGAAAGCUAAUAUCUUUUGCUAAUGACGGUACCUGAAGAAUAAGCACCGGCUAACUACGUGCCAGCAGCCGCGGUAAUACGUAGGGUGCAAGCGUUAAUCGGAAUUACUGGGCGUAAAGCGUGCGCAGGCGGUUUUGUAAGUCUGAUGUGAAAUCCCCGGGCUCAACCUGGGAAUUGCAUUGGAGACUGCAAGGCUAGAAUCUGGCAGAGGGGGGUAGAAUUCCACGUGUAGCAGUGAAAUGCGUAGAUAUGUGGAGGAACACCGAUGGCGAAGGCAGCCCCCUGGGUCAAGAUUGACGCUCAUGCACGAAAGCGUGGGGAGCAAACAGGAUUAGAUACCCUGGUAGUCCACGCCCUAAACGAUGUCUACUAGUUGUCGGGUCUUAAUUGACUUGGUAACGCAGCUAACGCGUGAAGUAGACCGCCUGGGGAGUACGGUCGCAAGAUUAAAACUCAAAGGAAUUGACGGGGACCCGCACAAGCGGUGGAUGAUGUGGAUUAAUUCGAUGCAACGCGAAAAACCUUACCUACCCUUGACAUGGCUGGAAUCCUUGAGAGAUCAGGGAGUGCUCGAAAGAGAGCCAGUACACAGGUGCUGCAUGGCUGUCGUCAGCUCGUGUCGUGAGAUGUUGGGUUAAGUCCCGCAACGAGCGCAACCCUUGUCAUUAGUUGCUACGAAAGGGCACUCUAAUGAGACUGCCGGUGACAAACCGGAGGAAGGUGGGGAUGACGUCAAGUCCUCAUGGCCCUUAUGGGUAGGGCUUCACACGUCAUACAAUGGUACAUACAGAGCGCCGCCAACCCGCGAGGGGGAGCUAAUCGCAGAAAGUGUAUCGUAGUCCGGAUUGUAGUCUGCAACUCGACUGCAUGAAGUUGGAAUCGCUAGUAAUCGCGGAUCAGCAUGUCGCGGUGAAUACGUUCCCGGGUCUUGUACACACCGCCCGUCACACCAUGGGAGCGGGUUUUACCAGAAGUAGGUAGCUUAACCGCAAGGAGGGCGCUUACCACGGUAGGAUUCGUGACUGGGGUGAAGUCGUAACAAGGUAACCAAGC
rnacentral:rRNA from 1 species